GGGGCAGGUAUGGACACAACAUUCAAGCUUGAUACAGCUCUUAAUUUUGAUUUCGAUCAAAUUUUUGACAUAAUAUGAGUUUCGGACACAAACCAAAUGUCAAGAUCUUACAAAUCUAUUGCGCAACAUUGUGCAAUUAAAGAUUUCUUCUUUUAACUUUUCAAAAAUUUGGAAUUUGAGAAAUUUGAAGAAAAAAAAUUGAAAAAAACUACAAUCCCCCUUUUUUUGCAAUUAGUCCAAAACCUGACAUUUCAUUAUACAUAAUAUACAAGUAGUGUAAGGGAGGUUAAUCCACCCAUACCCAACAUUGUAGGUUAAAUGUUUUAGAAUUACCUCCCUUACACUGCUUUUAAAUUGUCUUAAUUGUCCAUUGACAAGAAAUACCUAGUUUUUCCCCUUUUUUGCCCCUAAU
rnacentral:lncRNA from 1 species